AUUAUUUCAUUUAAAAGAAACAGUCGAAAUCUCAUGCAAAAUGAAAGCCCAAGUAAUUUCAUUUAUAUGUAAAAAAAAAAUAAAAGCAACAGAUAUCAGAGUGUUCUAAAUGGAUAUCAGUCACGGUAAAAUCAGAAACGCAGAUCAAUUAAAAUACUCAUCAUAUCUCACAAUAAUUGAAGAAAAAAAUUAAUAAAACCAAAAGACAUGUAUUUUUUUAAACAAAGAAAACAUCAUCAGGGACUUCAAUACCAAGAAUCACACCAUCGACAGAUGGGACAGCGUCAAGAAAUAGAGCGGAGUAUGGUUUCUUCCAUUGGCAGCGCAGCUAGGUUACCAGAAAACACUACAAAAGUGGUUUAUUUAUAGAGGUGUAACCCUAAAUCUAGACCGUGUGUUUUAAUGGGCACUGGAAUACCAAACACUGUGCUUCACCCUUCAGCUGUCCUCCCGUGGAGGCCCAGCCUGCAGCCGUUGUUUC
rnacentral:lncRNA from 1 species